AUACGGAGGAUCCGAGCGUUAUCCGGAUUUAUUGGGUUUAAAGGGUGCGCAGGCGGCCAUUUAAGUCAGCGGUUAAAUCGUGGGGCUCAACCCCAUUCUGCCGUUGAUACUGGGUGGCUUGAUUGCGGUCGAGGUUGGCGGAAUUCGUUGUGUAGCGGUGAAAUGCAUAGAUAUGACGAAGAACACCGAUUGCGUAGGCAGCUGACCAGAUCGCAAAUGACGCUCAUGCACGAAAGUGCGGGGAUCGGACAGGAUUAGAUACCCUGGUAGUCCGCACAGUAAACGAUGAAUACUUGUUUUCGGCGAUAUAAUGUCGGAGGCAAAGCGAAAGCGAUAAGUAUUCCACCUGGGGAGUACGCCGGCAACGGUGAAACUCAAAGGAAUUGACGGGG
rnacentral:rRNA from 1 species